AUCGAAGAACAUCGACCGUGUCAUUUCCAGUCAUCUACGAUCGGGGGUGUCACAAAGGUGGUAUCAGAGCAUGGUUAUACGAUGCUGGAAUGGGACUUGUUUCAAAUGUUUUUCGAGUCAAAAAGAGUUGCAAGGAUAACUAGGAUAUGCUGGCUGGUUCCUUUAUUUUAGGAAAGAUAGUCAUGGGUAGUUACCUAACCGUGAUCUUUCAUAGCAGAAGCACCAAGACAAGAUUGAACGGGUGAACCGUGCUUACCGGUGUUACUAUCAUUAUGCUCGAGUUUGCUUCCCUCAUGGUGGGGUUCACUACCGUCCUGCUAGAAGUCAGUAACCUCAUGCCUUCAUGCUGUUCUUCUGAGUUUUAGUGGGGGAUGCUAAUACUUUAGAGAGAUUUAUGGGACAUAAUUGAUACAUCGAAUACAUCUCCGUGUGUUAUCGAUGUCAAGGUGGGUGUUGUUUGUGAUCCAAUUCAGUACGAUUUGAAUGCACAUGAUCACUUAGAUUCACUUAUUCUUCCGGCUUCUCAAGUUUAACCAGCUAAUGCUAAGACGUACAAGCACCAGAGCCAUACAAGCAUGAUUUCUUAAGCAUUUGUUUCAAGCUUUGCGUUGGAGGAAGAGAUGGUUUGAUUGUAUUACAAAAUGAUGGAAGCACCAGAAGCAUUCUGUUUGCAAUGGAAUAUCAUGAAGCUUAUGAUGCAAAGAAGAAGAAGUUGGGACCAUAAGAUACUGAAGAAGGACUAAACCGUUCGAAGUAUACUUUGUCUUGAGGCAGAUUUGGGAUCCAAUACUCAGAGCAUAAUAUUCACGUGGCCGUUGUUCAGAGAAUUACAAGAAGGAUUUGGCAGCAAGCUAUUUGGAGAUCAAAGCUAUGAGUUGUUGGUCGAGAGUCAAGAAUUACUUAAGAGAGUUGACUUCGAGUUGGACAGAUUUCAUGAGUUCAAGAUGUAGUAUUUUCUACACAAGGUAUGUGACCAAUUGAAGAUUCAGUUUGUGGAGUUGGUACAGUGGGAUGUUUCCGCCAAGAGGUUCAGGUCGAGUUAAUCAUAUACCACAAUUUCAGCAUCGAGAUAUGUGGUAGAGUGAAUUUCAUUCAUCGAUUAUGGUUUGGAGAAUAAGCCAAAGAUAAUACGGAAAAUCUUUGGGAACUUAGCUAAGAAUUUUGGAGUAGAUAAAAGACCAUGGAGUUUCAAACCUUCGAGGAGAUGUUAGAGUACGACGUGAAUGUUAAAGAAGCUAUUAUUGCUGAAGAAGUUAACCAAGUCAUGCAGACUGUCUAUUUUCCAACCGGUGCAGAUCAAAGGUCAGUUUCAAGCAGUGAGUUAAGUAAGUCGUUGGUGAUUUUAGUACUCGUUCUUAUUCUUGGAAGUACUGGCUACCAGUUAAAAUUUAUGGUAUGCCUUUUCCCAUUCCUCAGUACUUCCAUUAGAGCGGUAUGUUUCUAUCUAGAGUGAGAUUGGCUAUCUAGUUACCGAGCUCAAUUAGGAUGUUGAGGAAAUAAUUUUUUUGGAAGAAGACUAGUUGCCAAUGGCCUACAAUGGUAUUCUACCAAGUGUUGGAGCAUCGUUCGUAUCAGUCUUGGGAGUUGAAGACCUUUUGGGAAAAGGUGAAGAUGUGUAUUCCAUUAUCUUGAUCAUUAGGAAAAGAGAAGAUGACAAGGAUCAGAAUAUAGUGAACAAUCAGAUAGCUUGAGAAUUUGAAGUUAUGCUUAAGGAAUUGGAAGAGUUGUUGCUAUCUAGAAGUAAGCUGUUCAAUAUUCUUGUUCAACUUGGAUCCACUGGAAUAGCCUAGGGAUUUCACCAAGUGGUUCUUGUCGAGUUCUAGUAGUAGUCAGAAGAUUAUGAAGAGCGUCUCAGAUAGAUCAGAAGUGUAAAGAAUACUGUAAGUGAAAUUAUUCUUGGAAUGGGUGAGUGUGUUUAUUCGAGAGUAGCACCCCUGGUCUGAAUCAUGUUGGCAUGAUUGAUCGUACGUGUUCUUGUUUGAUUGUUGCACGGUUAAUCAAGUUAACAUUGACCGGACUG